rnacentral:rRNA from 1 species
CCGGCGACCGGCGCACGGGUGAGUAACACGUAUGCAACCUGCCCUCUUCAGGGGGACAACCUUCCGAAAGGGAGGCUAAUCCCGCGUAUAUCGGUUUCGGGCAUCCGAGAUCGAGGAAAGAUUCAUCGGAAGAGGAUGGGCAUGCGGCGCAUUAGGCAGUAGGCGGGGUAACGGCCCACCUAACCGACGAUGCGUAGGGGUUCUGAGAGGAAGGUCCCCCACACUGGUACUGAGACACGGACCAGACUCCUACGGAAGGCAGCAG